GGUUAGGCGCGCUCCAUAUCCUGCUCCAAAUCCUAUUAUGACCCGACUAUAUUUAUACGCAGUUAUGUAAUUUGUUUUCCAAAACCCUAGAGAACCAUCUCCGUUUUCCUUCAUCUCCAUCUCCAUUCUGGUUCAAAGGAUCAAGCAUGAGGGUUUCACCGUCUUCUCCCUCUCUUCGCAUCGCCUCUCAAACAUCUUCAUCCAAGAUUGGAUCACCGAUGAUAGCAGAUUCUCUACAAACACAAAUCAGUUGUUGAUAAACAAUGAAUUUUAGGGAUAAUAAUAAAGAUGAAAGGUCCGAUAGAGAUCUUUGAAACCGUUUCUUCGUACCGGCAGUUGGUACCGUAUCACAAUUUAGUUGAGACAUUGAUAAAAAGAUAAAUUUGUUUCAUCUGAUGUAUUAUUUUUUGUUUAUAUGUGAGCAGGUUGUUCGUUUCUUUUCAGUGUAUCUUUUGUUUUGAUGCUGAAGUUAAUAGAUUUGAUUAUGAUCGUUAUAAAUUUUUGCAAUGUAUCAAGUCAUAUUGGUUCAGCACCUGUUUCUUCAAGGUUUUCAUUGAUCCCACUUCUUAACUGCAUUAGGCUGCUUUAUCAAGUCCACCUUUCUAAUGCCAAGAAAUCAUCUGCCACAACUGAAAUCAAACACAAGUUGGAUAAUGACAGCGGCAAGGACAUUUUUAAGUUGGGGAGAAAAGAUCUUCUUCUGAAAGUGAAGGGAACCAAAACAAAACAAUAAUUGGUGUUGGUAUUUGCCUUAUUUUUUAAAUUUUGGUAUAUUGACCGAUGAGAGCGUGAAAAGAGAGACCGGAUUGAUGCAAACGUUGUCGUAUUGUUGCAGAGUACAGCACUAUAGUGUUGCUAACAAUGGCAAACUUCAGGGGUUUAAUUUUGAUUAUUAAGACUGGGAGAUGAAGGUGAUUAUGCAUAUACCACUACUGUGAGGUACUUUUUUUGUUU